GACGAACGCUGGCGGCGUGCUAACCCAUGCCAGUCGAACGGAAAGGCCCUGCUUUUGUGGGGUGCUCGAGUGGCGAACGGGUGAGUAACACGUGAGUAACCUGCCCUUGACUUUGGGAUAACUUCAGGAAACUGGGGCUAAUACCGGAUAGGAGCUCCUGCUGCAUGGUGGGGGUUGGAAAGUUUCGUCGGUUGGGGAUGGACUCGCGGCUUAUCAGCUUGUUGGUGGGGUAGUGGCUUACCAAGGCUUUGACGGGUAGCCGGCCUGAGAGGGUGACCGGCCACAUUGGGACUGAGAUACGGCCAAGACUCCUACGGGAGGCAGCAGUGGGGAAUAUUGCAAAAUGGGCGGAAGCCUGAUGCAGCAACGCCGCGUGCGGGAUGACGGCCUUCGGGUUGUAAACCGCUUUCGCCUGUGACGAAGCGUGAGUGACGGUAAUGGGUAAAGAAGCACCGGCUAACUACGUG
rnacentral:rRNA from 1 species